rnacentral:misc_RNA from 1 species
UUCCGUAGGUGAACCUGCGGAAGGAUCAUUAAAAAUGAGACCUGAUUUUGAAGGUCUAUUAAUAAUCCUACCCUUUGUGAAUUUGUUUGUUUAUUAUGUCUUUCCCUGGUUUUGAUGGAGCUUGUUAAAGCAAAUCAAUCCAGGGAAUGGCAAAACUUUUUUUAAAUUAAACUUUUUGUAUUCAUUUGUCUAAAAUUAUUUUUAUAAUAUAAAACAACUUUUGACAAUGGAUCUCUUGGUUCUCGCAACGAUGAAGAACGCAGCAAAAUGCGAUAAGUAGUGUGAAUUGCAGAAUACGUGAAUCAUCGAAUCUUCGAACGCAUAUUGCACUUUUUGUUUACCAAAAAGUAUGUCUGUUUGAGUAUCAGUAAAUAUUCUCAUAAAACUAUUUGUUUUAUGGUUAUGAGUGUUUUACAACGAUAAACAAGUUGUUUCACUUUAAAUUCUUUGUCUUGUAAAAAUCAUUAAAAACUGAUUUUUUUUAAAAUUGGAUAAAUUUUCCCGUAAAAAGGAAUAACCUAAACAAUUUUGAAAAUUAAUUAGUUUGAUUUUUUCUUGAAUCCAAACAAAGGAAAAAGUAAAAAUUAACUUGAUCUCAAAUCAGAUAAGAGUACCGCUGAACUUAAGCAUAUCAAUAAGCGGAGGAAAAGAAACUAACUAGGAUUCCUCAGUAACGGCGAGUGAACGGAAGAGCUCAAAUUUGAAAUCUUCAAGGUUCUACCUUGACGAAUUGUAGUUUAAAGAAGUGUUUCUGUUGGAGUUUUGGUAAAAGUUCUUUGGAAUAGGACAUCAUAGAGGUGAGAAUCCCGUAUUUGACCAUUAUUUCCAACUUUGUGAUACACUUUCAAAGAGUCGAUUGUUUGGAAUGCAGUCAAAUGGUGGUAAAUUUCAUCUAAAGCUAAAUACUGGCGAGAGACCGAUAGCGAACAAGUACCGUGAGGAAAGAUGAAAAGAACUUUGAAAAGAGAGUUAAACAGUACGUGAAAUUGUCAAAGGGAAGCGUUUGACACCAGUGUUGUUUCUCGAAAAUCAAUUAAAAAAUUGGAUUUGUGUUGUAUUGACUUUAUCAGCUUCUGCACUUUUUUCUGUCUUUUUAAUGCACUUUUCGUUUAACAAGUCAACAUCAAUUCUUUUGUUGUAAAAGUCAUUGGAAGGUGCUUCUUUUCGGAGAAAGUGUUUAUAGCUUUGCUCUGCAAUCGGAGAGAUUGAGUCUGCAGCGUAGAUCUUCGGGUUAGAUACAUUUGUGCUAAGUAAGCCUUUCAUAGACAACUUGUUGACUAUGAUCAGUCAUGUAGCUUACUCGCUUAUGCUAUU